CAAAAAUUAAUGCCCUUUUAAAGAAUGCCAGUUAAUCUUUGAAGAAACUUUGGCCACUCUUAUCAAAGCUUUUUUAAAGGUCCCUUUGCCUAAAUAGACUAUAAAUAAAUAACCAGAUUGUCUCUUCUAACAAGAUGUCUAUACCCCAUGUUCUCACUGCCUCCUUCUUGACUCAAAGCCUGGUAUAAAUCACCACUUCUCAUUUCCCCCAGGGGAGCGGUGCCUCAUUUCCUUCCCUUGGGUCCUUCUCUGUCCCAGGAAGCAAGGGCUCCCUCUUCAGCCUUGGGGAAUGUGGUCGCCCCUCAGAGAAGAUGCUGGGCUCCUGGGGACCCAGGACUCCAGAGAAUGAAGAAGCCAUGCAAGAUCUAGAUUCCUUAAAGCUGCUGUUCUUCCUCCAGAAAGUAAAAUUAGAGAGACCUCAGAGGAGGAUAUUAGAAAAGUCCCAUAUGAAACAGGACUGUGCAGACCAGAGGUGGGGACCAGCUGGCCUUGGUCCUUGGAGCCAGGAGCCUGUCAGGAAGCCACAGAGUUGAAAGCUCGCCGUGGAGCAGGUUCUUUCGACGCAAGUGUUGAGACAAGAAUGCGUGUGCAAUUCAUUAAGGAAGAGCUCCUGGGAGGAGGCCAAAGGAGAGAUGGGGAGGUUACAAAGACCCUGUGGUCCCUACACUGGAGUAAAGUGCAGUGCAGCAGGAAGAUGGGUCAGUAGCUGACCAUAAACAGUGCAAUCAAUGCUAUAUGAUGAAAUCAUUCUAGAAGCCCACAGGAAGGACAAUGGACUCUGCCCAGGUGUUUGGAGUAGGCUUCCAGAGGGGAAAACAGUUGAAUUCAAUUGACAAGAUUCCCAUGGGUGGAGACAAAGAAGGGCUGGAGACACUCCAGGAAAAAAGGGGCAGAACAAAUAAGCUGAUUUAAAAAACCAAGUGCUCUGACCUCUGGGACAGCUUAACAAUGAAGCUUUCACCUUAGGCUCACAGCAAAAAUCUCGAGAAAAAAGAGAUUGCAUUAAAGAAUCAUUCAGGGUGUUAAUCAUUAGUAUGAAAGAGUGUGAGUCUAGUUUUCCCUAGAAUGACCUCAUGGGACAGGAGGUUACCCUUCUCUUGAUAACAUCAGAAGAAUAAAGCCCACAUUGUAUUCAUUAACAUUAACAUUUUGUUAAUAUUUUUAAUAUU